rnacentral:rRNA from 1 species
GACGAACGCUGGCGGCGUGCUUAACACAUGCAAGUCGAGCGGAAGGGCCCUGCUUUUGUGGGGUGCUCGAGUGGCGAAGGGGUGAGUAACCCGUGAGUAUCCUGCCCUUGACUGUGGGAUAACUUCAGGAAACUGGGGCUAAUACCGGCUAGGAGCUCCUGCUGCAGGGGGGUGGUUGGAAAGUUUCGGCGGUUGUGGGUGGACGCGCGGCUUAUCAGCUGGUUGGUGGGGUAGUGGCUUACCAGGGCAUUGGCGGGUAGCCGGCCUGGGAGGGGGGCCGGCCACAAUGGGACUGCGAGACGGCCCAGACUCCUACGGGAGGCAGCAGUGGGGAAUAUUGCACAAUGGGCGGAAGCCUGAUGCAGCAACGCCGCGUGCGGGAUGACGGCCUUCGGGUUGUAAACCGCUUUCGCCUGUGACGAAGCGUGAGUGACGGUAAUGGGUAAAGAAGCACCGGCUAACUACGUG